AUGGCUCUGUGCUGACAGCCAGGCCAGGACAGGAAUCAGUAACAUUCAAGGAUGUGGCUGUGGAAUUCACCCGAGAGGAGUGGGGACAAUUGAACCCAUCUCAGAAAAUGUUGUACAGGGAUGUGAUGCUGGAGAAUUAUAGGAACUUGGUGUCUUUGGGAUUUGCAGUUUCCAAACCAGAUGUGAUCUAUCAGUUGGAAAGG